UACGUAGGGGGCUAGCGUUGUCCGGAUUUAUUGGGCGUAAAGAGCGUGUAGGCGGCCAGGUAGGUCCGUUGUGAAAACUCGAGGCUCAACCUCGAGACGUCGGCGGAAACCCUCUGGCUAGAGUCCGGAAGAGGAGAGUGGAAUUCCUGGUGUAGCGGUGAAAUGCGUAGAGAUGUGGAGGAACACCAGUGGCGAAGGCGACUCUUUGGCCUGUAACUGACGCUGAGGCGCGAAAGCGUGGGGAGCAACAGG
rnacentral:rRNA from 1 species